GUACACUCCUGCGGGAGGCAGCAGUGGGGAAUUUUGGACAAUGGGCGAAAGCCUGAUCCAGCAAUGCCGCGUGCAGGAUGAAGGCCUUCGGGUUGUAAACUGCUUUUGUACGGAACGAAAAAGCUCCUUCUAAUACAGGGGGCCCAUGACGGUACCGUAAGAAUAAGCACCGGCUAACUACGUGCCAGCAGCCGCGGUAAUACGUAGGGUGCGAGCGUUAAUCGGAAUUACUGGGCGUAAAGCGUGCGCAGGCGGUUAUGUAAGACAGAUGUGAAAUCCCCGGGCUCAACCUGGGAACUGCAUUUGUGACUGCAUGGCUAGAGUACGGUAGAGGGGGAUGGAAUUCCGCGUGUAGCAGUGAAAUGCGUAGAUAUGCGGAGGAACACCGAUGGCGAAGGCAAUCCCCUGGACCUGUACUGACGCUCAUGCACGAAAGCGUGGGGAGCAAACAGGAUUAGAUACCCCGGUAGUCCCAUGA
rnacentral:rRNA from 1 species